rnacentral:rRNA from 1 species
CCUACGGGUGGCAGCAGUCGAGAAUCAUUCACAAUGGGGGAAACCCUGAUGGUGCGACGCCGCGUGGGGGAAUGAAGGUCUUCGGAUUGUAAACCCCUGUCAUGUGGGAGCAAAUUAAAAAGAUAGUACCACAAGAGGAAGAGACGGCUAACUCUGUGCCAGCAGCCGCGGUAAUACAGAGGUCUCAAGCGUUGUUCGGAAUCACUGGGCGUAAGGCGUGCGUAGGCUGUUUCGUAAGUCGUGUGUGAAAGGCGCGGGCUCAACCCGCGGACGGCACAUGAUACUGCGAGACUAGAGUAAUGGAGGGGGAACCGGAAUUCUCAGUGUAGCAGUGAAAUGCGUAGAUAUCGAGAGGAACACUCGUGGCGAAGGCGGGUUCCUGGACAUUAACUGACGCUGAGGCACGAAGGCCAGGGGAGCGAAAGGGAUUAGAUACCCGAGUAGUC